rnacentral:rRNA from 1 species
GAUGCACCCAUGCCGCGUGUGUGAAGAAGGCUCUAGGGUUGUAAAGCACUUUCAGCGAGGAGGAAAGGGUGUAGGUUAAUACCCUGCAUCUGUGACGUUACUCGCAGAAGAAGCACCGGCUAACUCCGUGCCAGCAGCCGCGGUAAUACGGAGGGUGCGAGCGUUAAUCGGAAUUACUGGGCGUAAAGCGUGCGUAGGCGGCUUGUUAAGUUGGAUGUGAAAGCCCCGGGCUCAACCUGGGAACUGCACCCAAAACUGGCAAGCUAGAGUGCGGAAGAGGAGUGUGGAAUUUCCUGUGUAGCGGUGAAAUGCGUAGAUAUAGGAAGGAACACCAGUGGCGAAGGCGACACUCUGGUCUGACACUGACGCUGAGGUACGAAAGCGUGGGGAGCAAACAGGAUUAGAUACCCUGGUAGUCCACGCCGUAAACGAUGUCUACUAGUCGUCGGGAAUCUUGCAUUCUUGGUGACGCAGCUAACGCGAUAAGUAGACCGCCUG